rnacentral:tRNA from 1 species
GCGGGGGUUCCCGAGUGGUCAAAGGGGCAGGACUUAAGAUCCUGUGUGCUUAGUGCCUGCGUAGGUUCAAAUCCUACCUCCCGCA